rnacentral:rRNA from 1 species
AUGCACCGGCCUGCUGCUCAGAGGAAGACGGCGAGGCCCGCGCUCGCCAAGGCCACCAGCGCCGCGACGCCGGCCGCGCGCGCGCUCGAGGCGCUGCUGUCCGUCACCGGCGUGCCUGCGGGCGUGAGCGAGGGAGACGAAGUCGGGGAGCUUGUCGGGGAGGUCGUCUUGGGGCUGGUCGGAGACAUCGACGGCGUCGCGGUGGGCGAUGUCGUCGGGGCGACGGUCGGGGAGGUCGUGGGCGCCAUCGACGGCGGGGUCGCCAUCGGAGGAGGUGUGGCGGGUGGUGGCGACAUGGGCGGUGAUGGCGGCGGGGUGGCGGGCGCUGGAGGAGGGGUGGCCGGAGCCUGCGGGGCCGGAGGGGGCGUGGCCGGGGCCUGUGGCGCCUGA